UUGUUAGUUAAUUCGAAUUCGGCAAAAAUUCGAUACGGGUAUAAUAUGCAUAAAAUUUAUUUUCUAAUUUUUAAAUUCGUUGAAAAAUUCGGCUUGAAAAAUAAUUUCGGUAUAAAAUAUAAAAUAUAAGAUAUAAAAUAUAAGAUAAUCUAUAUUUGUAGUGUUCCUGAGCUUUGGAUAGGGUUGGCUUCAGUAUUAGUGACUGGUCGACAUCUCUGGAGAGUGUCGGACUGAGUCGGAGUCAAUUCUGCACGAAUUGGAUGCAGAAUUGGA
rnacentral:lncRNA from 1 species